AACGAACGCUGGCGGCAUGCCUAGCACAUGCAAGUCGAACGAGACCUUCGGGUCUAGUGGCGCACGGGUGCGUAACGCGUGGGAACCUGCCCUUAGGUUCGGAAUAACUCCCCGAAAGGGGUGCUAAUACCGGAUAAUGUCUUCGGACCAAAGAUUUAUCGCCUUUGGAUGGGCACGCGUUGGAUUAGCUAGUUGGUAGGGUAAAAGCCUACCAAGGCGACGAUCCAUAGCUGGUCUGAGAGGAUGAUCAGCCACACUGGGACUGAGACACGGCCCAGACUCCUACGGGAGGCAGCAGUGGGGAAUAUUGAACAAUGGGCGAAAGCCUGAUCUAGCAAGGCCGCGUGAGUGAUGAAGGCCUGAGGGUUGUAAAGCUCUGUUACCCGGGAUGAUAAUGACAGUACCGGGAGAAUAAGCUACGGCUAACUCCGUG
rnacentral:rRNA from 1 species